ensembl:lncRNA
AGGAGAUGCAAGAAUCGGGCAUGUAAAUCUUCUCCUAAAAAUAUCUGCCUCUCCGAAGUUCUGUUCUUCCAGUUUUUCCCAGAGCUCAGACGGCCUCGCUCCUGGUCUCCACCCUGAGCUCCACUCAUCUAACUACUAAAAUAGCGAAUUAGUAAUAGUACCGACAUGGUCUAGCACACUGAGCCCCACAGGUCACGCAUCGCAUAAUCCGUCUCGUGGGGUCGUCGUGAUGAAGAGGCAGCUUCGGAAGAGGCGGAGGUUGCAUCUUGCAACACCGUCUGUGGGCUCCUUCGAAUCCUCUGAGCGUUAGCUGCUCUCUUGGAGGACAAAGGUGAGAGAUGCUCUCUGCGGAUUUCUGUCCUUGCAGGAUGGGGG